rnacentral:rRNA from 1 species
CUUUUGUGGGGUGCUCGAGUGGCGAACGGGUGAGUAACACGUGAGUAACCUGCCCUUGACUUUGGGAUAACUUCAGGAAACUGGGGCUAAUACCGGAUAGGAGCUCCUGCUGCAUGGUGGGGGUUGGAAAGUUUCGGCGGUUGGGGAUGGACUCGCGGCUUACCAGCUUGUUGGUGGGGUAGUGGCUUACCAAGGCUUUGACGGGUAGCCGGCCUGAGAGGGUGACCGGCCACAUUGGGACUGAGAUACGGCCCAG